AUGACUUCUUCAAAAACCCAGAUACGUAAAUGUUCUGAAAACAUCUACGUCAUCGAUUGUAUAGCCUCCAUGAGCGGUUUCCAAUUUCCAAUAAAUUAAACAACCUUCAGGUGACUCUAAAAAAGAGUUUGUAGAGAGAACCUAGUUAAUAAGCCUACUCAAAGCAACUUAAGAGAAAACCCAAAAAAUGCAGACAUGGAGCUCGUCGAAGACAAC
rnacentral:lncRNA from 1 species